GGGCGGGCAGGCCGCGGCGGAGAGCGGCUGGGCCGCGGAGGGCGGGGAGCGGCCGCCGGCGCCGCCGUGGAGACAGGAGAGAGCAAUGAGCAAACGUGAUCCAGCAGCCUGUCCCAUAGGAAAAACCACACCUAACACUAUCCUUCGAUGCCUUUGUUAACCUUGUGGUGCUGACACAUCCUAGAAAGAGAUGACUUGAAAACUUCAGAAAAUGUAGACGCUGGGAGCUCCAGAACUCAGGAUCUGGAAAAUGUCUGCAUAUUUGCAUUUUUAACUUUUACAGAUGAUGUGAAAGCGCAGCACAUUUGUCACUCUUUGGAAGAGACGCUAACAUCAAACUUGUCCUUCAAACAAGCUAUGGGCUCCUAUGGUACUUGUAAUUAGUUUCAAGAGCUCAUCAAAAUACUCAGUGUCUUAGACUAUGGGUACCUAGAAGCUGUUGUAAAUCUCUUGGUUGAUGAUUUUCAUCUCUGCACAAUGAAAUACUAAUGAAACUUUCCUGGCAAAUUUGGAGGAUUUGGAAAGAAGUCACUGGGGAACUAAGGAUCGUUACAAAUGGCAGCAUAUUUUUUUUCUUUCAAUGUGUCU